rnacentral:tRNA from 1 species
GAGAAUUUAGCUUAAUUAAAGUGUUUGAUUUGGAUUGGAGUGAUGCAAGGUAAAGUCUUGUAGUUCUUA